rnacentral:rRNA from 1 species
GUGCCAGCCGCCGCGGUAAUACGGAGGGUGCGAGCGUUAAUCGGAAUUACUGGGCGUAAAGCGUGCGUAGGCGGUUCGUUAAGUCAGAUGUGAAAGCCCUGGGCUCAACCUGGGAACUGCAUUUGAAACUGGCGGACUAGAGUUUAGUAGAGGGGAGUGGAAUUUCAGGUGUAGCGGUGAAAUGCGUAGAUAUCUGAAGGAACACCAGUGGCGAAGGCGACUCCCUGGACUAGAACUGACGCUGAGGUACGAAAGCGUGGGUAGCAAACAGGAUUAGAUACCCUGGUAGUCCACGCCGUAAACGAUGUCGACUAGCCGUUGGUCCUAUUUACAGGAUUAGUGGCGCAGCUAACGCAUUAAGUCGACCGCCUGGGGAGUACGGCCGCAAGGUUAAAACUUAAAUGAAUUGACGGGG